rnacentral:rRNA from 1 species
ACGAACGCUGGCGGCGUGCUUAACACAUGCAAGUCGAACGAAGAUGCCAUAGUAGAAGCAAUUAGCUUGCUAAAAGUGGACACAGUGGGAUCUUAGUGGCGGACGGGUGAGUAACGCGUGGGUAACCUGCCGUAUACAGGGGGAUAACACCUGGAAACAGGUGCUAAUACCGCAUAAGCGCACGAUGCCGCAUGGCAACGUGUGAAAAGCCGAGACGGUAUACGAUGGACCCGCGUCUGAUUAGCUGGUUGGUGAGGUAGAGGCUCACCAAGGCGACGAUCAGUAGCCGGCCUGAGAGGGUGAACGGCCACAUUGGGACUGAGACACGGCCCAAACUCCUACGGGAGGCAGCAGUGGGGAAUAUUGCACAAUGGGGGAAACCCUGAUGCAGCGACGCCGCGUGAGUGAAGAAGUAUUUCGGUAUGUAAAGCUCUAUCAGCAGGGAAGAAGAAGACGGUACCUGACUAAGAAGCCACGGCUAACUACGUGCCAGCAGCCGCGGUAAUACGUAGGUGGCAAGCGUUAUCCGGAUUUACUGGGUGUAAAGGGCGCGUAGGCGGGGAUGCAAGUCAGAUGUGAAAUCUAUGGGCUUAACCCAUAAACUGCAUUUGAAACUGUAUCUCUUGAGUGCUGGAGAGGUAGAUGGAAUUCCUUGUGUAGCGGUGAAAUGCGUAGAUAUAAGGAAGAACACCAGUGGCGAAGGCGAUCUACUGGACAGUAACUGACGCUGAGGCGCGAAAGCGUGGGGAGCAAACAGGAUUA